rnacentral:rRNA from 1 species
AGCGAACGCUGGCGGCAGGCUUAACACAUGCAAGUCGAACGGGCAUCUUCGGAUGUCAGUGGCAGACGGGUGAGUAACACGUGGGAACGUACCCUUCGGUUCGGAAUAACUCAGGGAAACUUGAGCUAAUACCGGAUACGCCCUUUUGGGGAAAGGUUUACUGCCGAAGGAUCGGCCCGCGUCUGAUUAGCUUGUUGGUGGGGUAACGGCCUACCAAGGCGACGAUCAGUAGCUGGUCUGAGAGGAUGAUCAGCCACACUGGGACUGAGACACGGCCCAGACUCCUACGGGAGGCAGCAGUGGGGAAUAUUGGACAAUGGGCGCAAGCCUGAUCCAGCCAUGCCGCGUGAGUGAUGAAGGCCUUAGGGUUGUAAAGCUCUUUUGUCCGGGACAAUAAUGACGGUACCGGAAGAAUAAGCCCCGGCUAACUUCGUG